rnacentral:tRNA from 1 species
GCGGAAGUAGCUCAUUUGGUAGAGCAUCAGCUUCCCAAGCUGAGGGUGGCGGGUUCGAGCCCCGUCUUCCGCU